rnacentral:rRNA from 1 species
GAAAGCGGCGGACGGGUACAGUAACGCGUGGGUAACCUGCCCCAUACACAGGGUAUAGCCAUUGGAAACGAUGAUUAAUACCUGAUAACACAGGUGGAAUCGCAUGGAGUCCGAUGUCAAAGAUUUAUCGGUAUGGGAUGGACCCGCGUCUGAUUAGCUAGUUGGUAAGGUAACGGCUUACCAAGGCGACGAUCAGUAGCCGACCUGAGAGGGUGAUCGGCCACACUGGAACUGAGACACGGUCCAGACUCCUACGGGAGGCAGCAGUGGGGAAUAUUGCACAAUGGGCGCAAGCCUGAUGCAGCAACGCCGCGUGAGCGAAGAAGGUCUUCGGAUCGUAAAGCUCUUUUCUUAGGGAAGAAAAAUGACGGUACCUAAGGAAUAAGCACCGGCUAAAUACGUGCCAGCAGCCGCGGUAAUACGUAUGGUGCAAGCGUUAUCCGGAAUCACUGGGCGUAAAGGGAGCGUAGGCGGUUUUUGCAAGUCAGAAGUGGAAAGGCUACGGCUCAACCGUAUUAAGCUUUUGAAAACUGCAAGACUAGAGUGCAGGGA